AUACGCAACAAGCGACCACAUCACCCCCUCUGCGACUACAACGAAUUGAAAGGAUCGCCUCCUCAGCCCGCCGAUAUAGUCAUCAUGCACUCUACGCCGGCCAAGGAGGCCGAGGCAGAGGGCUACAUGAGGAGCGGCAAGAAGCACCUGGAGAAGAAGCUGUUCCAAUUCAAGGCAAAUUAUGGCGGCGCCGCCGAAGACUUCGACAAGGCCGCGCGCAUCUACACAAACUUGAGAAACUAUCCGAAGGCGCGUGAAGCCUGGACACAAGCCUGUGAGGCUCACAGUAAAGCCCAUAACGACUUCAACGCCGCGAACUCGAUGGAGAAGCUGGGAGACCUUGCUUCCCAGUAUAUAUGUGAUUCCCAGAGCACCAUGUCAAGUGGCAGUACUGCCAGCACGACAGCGCAGCUGAGCGAGCAUCUCUUUCAGGACGCGAUUCACGCCUACGAAGAGGCAUCCAAGCUGUAUGGUGUGGCCACGAAUGGGUCGAAGCAGGCGUCGGUGCUUAAGAAGGCCGCAGACCUGAUCUCGCGCUCGCUUGUGACGGCGCAUUACCGGCGCCCCGGCACCAGCGGCGCCACCACCGUCGACACGGCGUACCUGCAAAAAGAGUACGAACGCAUCAUUCCAGAGGUCAUAGAGCUGAUGGAGCGCAACUGGGAGGUGACGGAGUCGAAGCCGUUCGACUUGCCGGACAUCUACCGAUCCUACAUGCUCUUCCACCUCCGCUCCGGCGACGUCGAGGGCGCCGUGCAAACUGAAAAGCGCAUGAUAGGCGUUAUUUCCACCAGCCCAGCCGACGGCACGUACGACGACAGCAAGAACCUCUUCCGCAUUCUCAACCAGCCCAGCAACGCCGCAAAGGUCGGGCUGGAGAUUAUAGUACUCUGCCUCAGCACUUCCGUCGAUGACGGGUACACGUGGGCCAACAUCGAGAUGGGUCGCCUCGGGGCUGUGUUUGGCUUCUGCAACUCGUCAGAGGAGCGAGCGGCGGCGGCGCUGUUAACCGCCUACGCCGAGCGCGACGAAGAUGCCUUGCAAGAAGCACUGAAGACGAACGCGUGCUUCAACUUCCUCGCAGCAGACGUGUCUCGAAUGGCCAAGAAGCUGACGCUCGGGGGCAAGGGGCACUCCAAGGCGACGGAGGCAUCAGUGGCAGCUGCCGGCGGUGCGGAACGCUCAGCUGCGCCGCCGUCCUCGUCACAAGCGCCGGUGGACGCAUCGGAGACGGACUCCGAGGACCUCCGAUAGACGAUGAAACGAUCAAAGAGUUGCUUUUGCAGUUUCCUUUUCGUAUCCGCGUAUGCGGUCUUGCACGUGCAUGGUGCUGAAUAGUACUUGUCGCACUACUGCAGUUGCGCGGGCAAGCCUUACGUUUGUUGCUGCGUGGGGAUCCCUGCCGGUUUUGGGAGAGGUUUUAUCUGCCUAUCCCCAUCCUUCUGCUGAAGGUGGCCUUGAGCUUGCAUCUUGAACACAGACACACGAAUACCAGCGAAUGUGUAUGGUGUGCAUGUGAGAUACGGAGAGGUCGAGUCUAUCAGUCUGUCUGUGUGUGAGGCUGUCAACGCCUUCGACAUUUUCUUUUGCGUUUCCGUUCUCCCUGUGUUGGCGAUAUGCUUCUUCUUUACCUUUUUUGCCGUUUUCUCACGCUCAUCUCCCCCGCCCGUGCGCUCUCGUCGCCGUCACGAGAGACGAGCUCAAGGAGAAGCUGGAUACACACAAAAAAAA
rnacentral:misc_RNA from 1 species